rnacentral:rRNA from 1 species
AGAGAUGCACUGGGCGUAAAGCGUGCGCAGGCGGUUUUGUAAGACAGAGGUGAAAUCCCCGGGCUCAACCUGGGAACUGCCUUUGUGACUGCAAGGCUGGAGUGCGGCAGAGGGGGAUGGAAUUCCGCGUGUAGCAGUGAAAUGCGUAGAUAUGCGGAGGAACACCGAUGGCGAAGGCAAUCCCCUGGGCCUGUACUGACGCUCAUGCACGAAAGCGUGGGGAGCAAACA